UACGUAGGGUGCAAGCGUUACUCGGACUUACUGGGCGUAAAGCGUGCGCAGGCGGCUUUGCAAGACAGAUGUGAAAUCCCCGGGCUCAACCUGGGAACUGCAUUUGUGACUGCAUGGCUAGAGUGCGGCAGAGGGGGAUGGAAUUCCGCGUGUAGCAGUGAAAUGCGUAGAUAUGCGGAGGAACACCGAUGGCGAAGGCAAUCCCCUGGGCCGGCACUGACGCUCAUGCACGAAAGCGUGGGGAGCAAACAGG
rnacentral:rRNA from 1 species